GAUGAACGCUGGCGGCGUGGAUUAGGCAUGCAAGUCGAGCGGCAGCAGGCCCGCAAGGGCGCUGGCGAGCGGCGAAAGGGAGAGUAACACGCGGGUACCUGCCCUCGGGACCGGGAUAGCUGCGGGAUACUGCAAUUAAUACCGGAUAAUGUCCCCGGACCAAAUGGUGUGAUUCCGCCUGAGGAGGGGCCCACGUCCUAUCAGCUAGUUGGUGAGGUAACGGCUCACCAAGGCUACGACGGGUACGGGGGGUGAGAGCAUGCCCCCGCUCACUGGGACGGAGACACUGCCCAGACAGCUACGGGUGGCUGCAGUCGAGAAUCCUCCGGGAUGGGCGAAAGCCUGACGGAGCGACGCGGCGUGCGGGAUGAAGGCCUUCGGGUUGUAAACCGCUGUCAGAGGGGAACAAGUUCAUGGGGGUUCUCCCCUGUGUUUGAGUGAUCCUCAGAGGAAGCGCAGGCUAAGUCCGUGCCAGCCGCCGCGGUAA
rnacentral:rRNA from 1 species